GGUCUCAUAGCUCAGCGGGAGAGCACUCGCCUCACACGCGAGGGGUCGCUGGUUCAAACCCAGCUGGGACCACCA
rnacentral:tRNA from 1 species